CCUGGAUUUUUCUAGCUCAUAGCUUCGCCCUGCUAAGAAGCGUGUGUGCUUGUACAAAGGCCGUUCAGCCUCGGGAUUUACACUCGGCUCGACACGGAUAUGUGAAGAAUGAAGGGACCCUGCAGCGAAACGGAGAGCCAACCUCUGACUGAGUGCCUGUUUUCGCAGUCUGACCACCUGUUGAAGGGCUGUUUGAUGACGAUUUGGACUCCUCUGGGAGAUGAGGACACACCCACAUCUGUUCCAUACUGCAGCUAUGGAUGGUGUUACAGCUCUGAGUCAGCUUUGGGCCAUCAGACGCACACACUGGAAAACCAGCACCUUCAUGCAGGAGAGACGGCCUCAGUGAUUUAGAAUUCAUCAGCAGCUGUGAAGAGAUGUAUUUGAAUAUCUUCUGGUUCCACUUUUCCUUCCCAGAAAGCUGAGGAUGGCUAAUUCCUGACAAGGACACACACCUCAGCGCUUAUCAUGGGUGUUACAUCCUCUGUGCAGCAAUUCCAGAGAAAACGAGAGAGCAACAACCACUCAUUAAGACCAGCCAGAAAUCUGUCCCUUUCUGGCAGCUGUGGAAUAGAAUAGAAUAAUAGAAUAGAAUAGAAUAUUCUUUAUUGUCAUUGUCAUAAGUACAAUGAAAUUGAGAGAUGUCUCUGGUCAAUGCAACAUUCACGAAAAUAAAUACUUAAAAACUAUGUUGUAAAUACUGUAGGAAACUUCCAAUAAGAAAGUUUGCAUUCUUAGAACAAUGCUGGGUCGUGUGUGAUGUGUCAUCAUAUGAGGAUAUUACAUUUUGACUUAAUUCUGCUCAAUUAAGUGUUUUGAUCGUUGAUCCAGUAUGGCAGCUUUGUGUUGUGCUGCAAGUUAAAACUCAUUGUCCUCAUGAGCACAGCAUCUAACAACUCUCCUUAAAAAAACCGAAUGACUUUAACUGGACACAAUGGUUUCCAGUGGGAGAUACGUUCAUCACUCAUCCGUGACACUGGAGAAGUCACCUGAGUGAGUGAUAAAACAAUUUUCCAUGGAAAAUCCAGAGGAACUAAACUUUGUUGUUGUUUCUUGGGGCUCAAUUUCAGCUCUAGCAGCAUCUCUCAGAAGAAAACCGUUUUGCAAAUAAUCAGAUAAAAAGAUUGUUGAACUAGGUGGUAUUCUCUGGGGUUUAAGACCAAACUCAAACAGUGAAUUGACAUUAGACUGGAAUUCAUAGGACGAAUAGAAAUACUGCUGAAGCUAAAUGAUUCAUAUGUGUGUGUAUAUAUA